GACGGAGGAGGCAAGCGUUAUCCGGAAUCAUUGGGCGUAAAGCGUCCGUAGGUGGCUUGGUAAGUCGGCUGUCAAAUCACAUGGCUCAACCAUGUAACGGCAGUGGAAACUGCUAGGCUAGAGUGCGGUAGGGGUAGCGGGAAUUCCCGGUGUAGCGGUGAAAUGCGUAGAUACUGGGAAGAACAUCGGUGGCGAAAGCGCGCUACUGGGUCGCAACUGACACUGAGGGACGAAAGCUAGGGGAGCGAAUGGG
rnacentral:rRNA from 1 species